CUGGGUAUGGCGCAGUUUGGUAGCGCGCUUGAAUGGGGUUCAAGAGGUCGGGGGUUCAAAUCCCUCUACCCAGACCA
rnacentral:tRNA from 1 species